rnacentral:rRNA from 1 species
GACGAACGCUGGCGGCGUGCUUAACACAUGCAAGUCGAACGAAGUGGCGAACGGGUGAGUAAUACGUGGGUAACCUGCCCUCCUUUUUGGGAUAAGCCUUGGAAACGGGGUCUAAUACCGAAUCAAGGGGGAUGGGCUCGCGGCCUAUCAGCUUGUUGGUGGGGGGAUGGCCUACCAAGGCGGUGACGGGUAGCCGGCCUGAGAGGGUGACCGGCCAAAUGGGUACUGAGAUACGGCCCAGACGCCUACGGGAGGCAGAAGUGGGGGAUAUGGCACAAGGGGCGAAAGCCUGAUGAAGCCAUGCCGCGUGUAUGAAGAAGGCCUUAGGGUUGUAAAGUACUUUCAGCGGGGAGGCGUUACCCGCAGAAGAAGCACCGGCUAACGCCGUGCCAGCCGCCGCGGUAAUA